CGCUAUUUCAUCCGGCACCUCUGCAACAUUGCGUUAAGAUUGUUGAGGGAGGGAUAAUCAGUAAUCACAGCUGUUUAUUAUUUCGACUGUUUCUUUUCAGGUUCAGGGUGAAGAAUGUGGUACGAAGCAAUGACUAGUUUGCUGUUGACGACAGUUUUUGUUGGCCUUCCGUACGGAAUUAUUCCGUUAGUUCAUAAGCUGGCGAACAACGGGAAUGCUUUCUCGAGGCUGCAAAACUCGACACAUCAAAGAUUUCUUUACAGAAGAGACACUCGAUUGACUGGUAACCCAUAUGUCUUGAAGGGUUUGGAAUCUAUCCCUGAUUAGACAAAUCACUCUUGAAUUAUCAGUAUGAUGUCUUAGAGGAAUUUGAAGAAAUAAAUUGUAUAGUGGAAGUAA